UCAAAGUAGUGAAUGGUAGAUGUUUGGAUGGUGAAGUCGGCCAUGAUGCCUGAGCUGGAGAAGACAGACUGGUCUGGCAGCAUUGGGGAGAAGAUGAUAUGGACACAGGUCUCUCCCCUCUGUAUCCUGGUGUGGAUGGGCGCAAGUCACCCUCACCUGUAUGGGCAUGCAUGUGGCACGGAGAGCUCAGCAGAGAGAACAGCCAUGAAUGGAGACAAAUGGUGCCUCUGAAUGAGCCUCUUCGACCCUCCUGAAAUCACGGGCAACUUUUGGUUCCGGACAUUUGCUCAACUAGUGUGAAGAUCAACUCCUCUGGAAUUUUAGUCCAAGACAAGUGUCCACUUAGAAAUGUCCCAGAGCCUCCCUUUCUGCAGAAAAUGAAGACAUGGGAAUUCAGCUCCCUCCUCCUUCCUGCUCCAGCUGUCAGGAAGCUUAGGGGCAAACUGAGCCCCUUGCUCUGAGGGCCUGGUCACAUACAUUCCCUGGGCUUCCUUCCUUCCAGGCCUCUUUGUUUUGUUUUAUUCCUAUAAGAUAGUUACUGUCCUUAGCUUUUAAAUCUUAAUAAGAAGGAUCUAAGGAGUUGCUAUUUAUAACUCUGCAAACGAAGAAAGAACAAUAAUUUGAUAUAUUCUAUCACCCAAACAAAGCCCCCAAGUGUCAAGAUUAAUGGAACAACAGGUUUGAAGAUUGCAGGUAUCAAGGAACAAAGGACAAGGAUCCUCAAAAAUGACCAACAAAUGAGGGAAGUUCUAUGAUUUAAAUAAGGAAACAUUUCCUAAUUAACUUUGUCCAAGAGUAAAGAUAAAUUAUAUCCACAGGAAUAAAAUGUAUCAGCACCUAACUGUCAGGUUAUCCAAAAAUAAAAGAGUAUAUGAGAGAUAAUUAGAAGUAUCAGUCAAUGAUAACGGGACCAGAACUGACUUGAUACAUUUAACAUACAAGGACAUCUCCUAUAAGUCAGUAGCAAAACAAAAUACUAUAAUUCUUAAUGGGCUCAGGAUUUGAAAUGGCAUUUCUUCAAAGAGAACAUAGAAAUGUGAAGAGAUGCUCAAAAUCACUACAGAGAAA
rnacentral:lncRNA from 1 species